AGAGAGCACGCGACCGACGGCGACGGGAGACGGCGGCGGCGGGGAAAGGAGACGACGGCGGGGAAAGAAGAGCAAAUCACAACGGUGCCGAAGAGAUCCUCCUCCGGCGGCUGAUCCCCGCUGGAGGUCCUCUGGCGGCGGCGGUGUGGUUUCCGGCGUUUGGCGGCGAGCGCGCCAUGAUUUCUAAUGUUCUGUCAAACUGUAUGACAAUAAGUUUAUAGCGGCAGUUGCUCAUCUGUUGGGUCGAGCAAUUUAUUCAUGUGUGUUCUUGUUCGAGAAAAUUGGAUGACAAAAUUGCAUGACACGAAGUUUAUGUUAAAGACGAAGUUUUUAAUUUACUGAUUGUCUAUUAUCA